CCUUAUCCCUUGUUCCACUUGGCCGCAGGCACAAGGAACCGAUCGUGGCCAUUGGAUGGCAACUCCGGGGCGGGCCGCGCCACCCAAUUAUUGAUGGAACCCGGUAACCACGAGGGAAGUCCGAUGAUAGAACGGUGGGGGAGGCGGAGAGCGCAAUAGGAGCUGCCAUUUCAGGUCUCACCUCCUAAGCUAUAUACGUCGGCUUUACGCACUAGCCUGCGCCCGUCUCCUACCUCGAGAGGCUUAGGAUCCGACGUUCCUUUUUCUUCCUCCUCCUCCUCCGCGGAUUGUCUUCGCUGAAACCAAGGUCUUUGCUUGUUCCAACGUUUCUCUAAGCUUAUGCAUGCGCAUGUCUUAUGUAUGUGGAGAUUUUGGAGAAAAGAGGCGACUUUGGUUUGGUUGCGAGCAAAAGGAAAGGUCGGAUGGCAAUCCUAGAGAGCAAUCGUUGAAGAAGAUGCGACUUUUGACUGGAUUUGCGAUGCAGCUACUCUCGGAUCGAAGAAAAGGAACGAUCUUGUCAGCCAAAAAGAUGGAACUUUACCUUGUGUUCUGAGAAGAUCUUGACCUUCGGUUCCACUUUGUUCUGCCAUGGGUUUGGUCUAAUCGAGCCAUCAAUGGAAUGUGUCGGUGAUUCAGGCAUCCGUAGUUCUUCGCACACAGUAUCUUCAGGGACUCCGUAAGCAUCUUCUUCUCCCCUGAUCUAUCAUGCCUCUUUCCGAGUUCUAUCAAGCAUCAGCAAGGAAGAAGUUUGACUCUGCCCAGUCCAACAAGAUGGCCAGCCGCUCGUCUAAUCGCUCUUCUUCCAUGCCUGAUAACGAGUUCGUCGAACUACUCUGGGAGAACGGUCCGGUUGUGAUGCAGGGCAAGUCCAACAGGCCUCGGAAGACCUCCAUUGCCACCACCAACUUCUCUUUGCCUGCAGACAGAGCUGAAGGGAAGGACAGCACAGCUAUCGCCAACAUGCCCAAGCUGGGUGUGCUUGAGGCCAUGGACCCAUUCGUCAGCAACUUCUCUCCCUCUGAUCCUUCUGGCAAUGCCGGAAUCAUCAGUACUCAAUUCGACAAUAUGGUUCCCUGGAUCAAUUAUCCGAUUGAAGAGGAUCCUGCCUCCAGCAAUUAUUGCUCAGAGUUCUUCUCUGAAAUCUCAGGGAUUUCUAUGCCUGCUAAUGAGAACAAUAGUUUUGGUCAUAGUACACCAUAUGUGGAGCAUGGAAUUGUUUCUAAAGCACUCGAAGCUGGAACGUGUCAGAGUUCACUUCCAAGCAUCAUGUCAAGAAUUGAGAAUUCACCGAAAAAAGAUGUAAGCAGUAUGGAUUUAAUGAACUCCUCCCUUUUCUUGAGACCGGGCAUGAAAGGAAAAGCUAAUCUCCAGAGUGUUGAGAAUUCUGCCACUGCCACUGCAAGCAGCAACCGGAUCGAAUCGACAGUAAUCCAGUCUUGUAGUGGUUUGCAAAGUACUUCAGGUAUUCAAGGAGAGUUGAACUCUGUCUCAUCCAUGUUGGAGAUGGGAUCAUCCGCAGAAACUCCCCGAGAGAUUGCAUCUGUUGAGCCACUGGAGGAUGUCUGUGAACAGGACAUGCCAAGGAAGAAUCUCAAGUCGGUAAUCGAAAAAGAUCACGAAGCCAUUGCUGCAUCUUCUUCUGUUGGUUCAGGCAACACAGCAGGGACAGCAUCCGGCGAUCCAGCACAAGGUGCAAAGAGGAAGAAUCAAGGAGAAGAGUGUCGUAACCACAAAGAAGAUCUUGAAGAUGCAUCCACGCCAUCAAGAAAGCCCGAUGCUGAUGCUGCCAAGGGAAGAAAUGCAAAGAGAAGCCGUGCAGCAGAGGUGCAUAAUUUGUCAGAAAGAAGGAGAAGGGAUAGGAUCAAUGAGAAAAUGCGUGCGCUGCAAGAGCUUAUACCCAAUUGUAGUAAGGUGGAUAAAGCGUCAAUGCUUGAUGAGGCCAUCGAGUAUCUCAAGACCCUUCAGCUUCAAGUUCAGAUGAUGUCUAUGGGUAGUGGGCUGUGCAUGUCUCCGAUGAUGCUACCAGGUGGGAUGCAGCAUCUGCGUGUUCCCCCCAUCGCUCAUUUCGCGCAGAUGGGAAUGAACAUGACGUUUGGUUAUGGGAUGGGGAUGCUCAACAUGAAUGGUUCUCCGGGCUGCUCUCUAGUUGCAGCUCCUCCUCCCAUGCCUGGCACACAGUUCCCUUGUUCUCCCCUUCAAGCACCUCAGGGUUUAUAUGGGAUGCCUCGGCCUACGAAUCUUCCCAUGUUUGCACAAGGACAAGCACUUCCUGUGCCAGUGCCUCGUGUGCCAUCACCAUUCAAAUCCAUGUCAGGCCUCCCUGCAAAUUUGAACUCAGUGCCUGAAGCUUCGACGACCACAACAAGCAAUCCUUCACGAGCUCCAGAUGCAGAAACCUCAUCAAGCUUUAAAGAUCAAAAGGCUAGCGCUAGUGAUUCACAGGGAACAAAAGGAUCGUCCCAACAAUGUCUGAGUACACCGAGCAUUAGUGAUGAUGAACCAGCAGAACUAGUGAACGGAACAUGAAUAGGAGAAUAUAUCGUCUUUAUGGUUUCGUAUGGUGCAGGGCAUGGAUGAUAAAUUUCAGAUGGUGACUGAUCGAGUUAGGUCAAUGUUUCUGGAUGGAUGCAGAACCCUAUGAGAGCACUGGAGUAGCCAUAUAACUUCAUUGCAGGAAGUUUUGGGAGUUCAAAGCUAGUAGAAAGACUCAUCCUUUUGUUUGUGAAAGGAUGAGCCGCCACGAACACAUUAUUGAGGCCAAACCUUCCGUCGUCUUCUUCCUCGACAGAUGCAGUUCUUCCAAGUAGAUCAACACCUUGCGUGGUGCGAGAUCAAGUCUCCUCCUCGGCAUAUUCUCGAACACUUCGCAUGGCAGCCGCACUUACUAUCGAGGCUGUCGAGCAGCAUGCUUCAACGACGAGCAGGGACGUGAAAUCGUCGGCAUCCGAGUCUUCGCAGAUCAUCUUCCGAUGGAACGCGAAUGCUCGUGCGAUCGACAAAGCCUUCGAGGACCGAGUUGUCGUUGCUAUGGUACUACGUGCAUGCAUGAAGCACGCGUCCUUGGUUUAAAUGGCCACUUAUCCCACGAGAGGCCUGAUACGCACGUGAGCUAUU